rnacentral:misc_RNA from 1 species
GCAACAUAACAAGAAAUGAAAUUGGGAAAACUAAAACUUAGCUUCCAUUGAUCAAAAGUAGUGUACAUGCAUGGAGAGAGAAACAGGAGAAACUAACUUGGAACAAACUCUAACAGAAAUCCUACACAUGCCCAUGCACCUGUAACUAUCUAACAAAAUAAAUGUGCUUCUUUUCAUAAUAAAUAAACUAAGCUCUGCUUCUUUAUCUCUGGUAAUACAUAGAGACAUCUUAACAUCAAUUACCAAACCAAAGCAAAUACUAGAAGGGGGAAAAAAAUAGUUCCAACCACAAACAUGGAAUUUGAAAUAAUCGGAAGUCAAAGAAUUAAAUUAUCUCAUUUUUCUUUUAACUCGUAUGUGACAUCAAGCAAGUACAAUUUCACUAAGCUUAACAAAGAAUUUAAACAAUAAAACACCUAUCUACUAUCUACUAAAUUUUACGACUCAAGACACCCACAAGGCUGCAGAUGACUACACAUAUCUAGAACCUACUCCAAGUUUGCAGCUGAAAUGGAACACUAGGAGACUAAAAUACAACUCAGGUAAAGA